GACGAACGCUGGCGGCGUGCUUAACACAUGCAAGUCGAACGAAGAGCGAUGGAAGCUUGCUUCUAUCAAUCUUAGUGGCGAACGGGUGAGUAACGCGUAAUCAACCUGCCCUUCAGAGGGGGACAACAGUUGGAAACGACUGCUAAUACCGCAUACGAUCUAAUCUCGGCAUCGAGGAUAGAUGAAAGGUGGCCUCUACAUGUAAGCUAUCACUGAAGGAGGGGAUUGCGUCUGAUUAGCUAGUUGGAGGGGUAACGGCCCACCAAGGCGAUGAUCAGUAGCCGGUCUGAGAGGAUGAACGGCCACAUUGGGACUGAGACACGGCCCAGACUUCUACGGGAGGCAGCAGUGGGGAAUCUUCCGCAAUGGACGAAAGUCUGACGGAGCAACGCCGCGUGAGUGAUGACGGCCUUCGGGUUGUAAAGCUCUGUUAAUCGGGACGAAAGGCCUUCUUGCGAAUAGUGAGAAGGAUUGACGGUACCGGAAUAGAAAGCCACGGCUAACUACGUG
rnacentral:rRNA from 1 species